rnacentral:ncRNA from 1 species
AAUUGAUUGAAUUCGAGCGUUGGUAUGGAACCUACCAAGUGAUAACUUUCAAAUUCAGAGAAACCCUGGAAUUAAAAAUGGGCAAUCCUGAGCCAAAUCCGGUUUUCUGAAAACAAACAAGGGUUCAGAAGGCGAUAAUAAAAAAGGAUAGGUGCAGAGACUCAAUGGAAGCUGUUCUAACAAAUGGAGUUGACUGCGGUGCGUUAGUAAAGGAAUCACUCCAGAAAGGAUGAAGAAUAAACCUAUAUACGUAUACGUACUGAAAUAGUAUCUUCAAAUGAUUAAUGACAACCCAAAUCCGUAUUUCUUUUAAUUUUCAUGAAAAAUUAAAGAAUUAUUGUAAAUCAAUUAUUAAGUUGAAAAAAGAAUUAAAUAUUCAUUAAUCAAAUCAUUUACUCCAUCAAAAUCUGAUAGAUCUUUUGAAGAAUGGAUUAAUCGGACGAGAAUAAAGAUAGAGUCCCAUUUUACAUGUUAAUAUCGACAACAAUGAAAUUUAUAGUAAGAGGAAAAUCCGUCGACUUUAAAAAUCGUGAGGGUUCAAGUCCCUCUAUCCCCA